CCCUCGGAGCGUUACAUCAAACGAAAGUAGUCGAGGUUUGACAAAAUCGGACGCGUUGAACAGGGAA
ncrna:unclassified sequences RAGATH-18 RNA